GCUAAACGCGAAGAACCUUACCUACCCUUGACAUGUCCGGAAUCCUGCAGAGAUGCGGGAGUGCCCGAAAGGGAAUCGGAACACAGGUGCUGCAUGGCUGUCGUCAGCUCGUGUCGUGAGAUGUUGGGUUAAGUCCCGCAACGAGCGCAACCCUUAUCAUUAGUUGCUACGCAAGGGCACUCUAAUGAGACUGCCGGUGACAAACCGGAGGAAGGUGGGGAUGACGUCAAGUCCUCAUGGCCUUUAUGUCCAGGGCUACACACGUGCUCCAAUGGGCGGUACAAAGGGCUGCGAAGUCGCGAGACGGAGUCAAUCCCAAAAAGCCGCUCUCAGUCCGGAUUGCAGUCUGCAACUCGACUGCAUGAAGGUGGAAUCGCUAGUAAUCGCGGAUCAGCACGCCGCGGUGAAUACGUUCCCGGGUCUUGUACACACCG
rnacentral:rRNA from 1 species